UGGUUUAAUUCGAAGCAACGCGAAGAACCUUACCAGGUCUUGACAUCCUUUGACCACUCUGGAGACAGAGCUUUCCCUUCGGGGACAAAGUGACAGGUGGUGCAUGGUUGUCGUCAGCUCGUGUCGUGAGAUGUUGGGUUAAGUCCCGCAACGAGCGCAACCCUUGAUUUUAGUUGCCAGCAUUUAGUUGGGCACUCUAAAGUGACUGCCGGUGCAAGCCGGAGGAAGGUGGGGAUGACGUCAAAUCAUCAUGCCCCUUAUGACCUGGGCUACACACGUGCUACAAUGGAUAGUACAAAGGGUCGCGAAGCCGCGAGGUGGAGCUAAUCCCAUAAAACUAUUCUCAGUUCGGAUUGUAGGCUGCAACUCGCCUACAUGAAGCCGGAAUCGCUAGUAAUCGUGGAUCAGCAUGCCACGGUGAAUACGUUCCCGGGCCUUGUACACACCGCCCGUCACACCACGAGAGUUUGUAACACCCGAAGUCGGUAGGGUAACCUUUAUGGAGCCAGCCGCCGAAGGUGGGACAGAUAAUUGGGGUGAAGUCGUAACAAGGUAGCCGUAUCGGAAGGUGCGGCUGGAUCACCUCCUUUCUAAGGAA
rnacentral:rRNA from 1 species